UAGAGUGGAGGUUAUCCGGGAUACAGGUGGUGCAUGGUUGUCGUCAGCUCGUGUCGUGAGAUGUUGGGUUAAGUCCCGCAACGAGCGCAACCCUUGUCUUUAGUUACCAUCAUUCAGUUGGGGACUCUAGAGAGACUGCCGGUGAUAAACCGGAGGAAGGUGGGGGAUGACGUCAAAUCAUCAUGCCCCUUAUGGCCUGGGCUACAAACGUAAUACAAUGGCGUAUACAAAGGGAUGCGAAAGGGCGACCUGGAGCAAAACUCACAAAGUACGUCUCAGUUCAGAUUGGAGUCUGCAACUCGACUCCAUGAAGGCGGAAUCGCUAGUAAUCGCGGAUCAGCAUGCCGCGGUGAAUACGUUCUCGGGGGUUU
rnacentral:rRNA from 1 species